AGUGAACGCUGGCGGUAGGCCUAACACAUGCAAGUCGAACGGCAGCACAGUAAGAGCUUGCUCUUACGGGUGGCGAGUGGCGGACGGGUGAGGAAUACAUCGGAAUCUACUUUUUCGUGGGGGAUAACGUAGGGAAACUUACGCUAAUACCGCAUACGACCUACGGGUGAAAGCAGGGGAUCUUCGGACCUUGCGCGAUUGAAUGAGCCGAUGUCGGAUUAGCUAGUUGGCGGGGUAAAGGCCCACCAAGGCGACGAUCCGUAGCUGGUCUGAGAGGAUGAUCAGCCACACUAGAACUGAGACACGGUCCAGACUCCUACGGGAGGCAGCAGUGGGGAAUAUUGGACAAUGGGCGCAAGCCUGAUCCAGCCAUACCGCAUGGGUGAAGAAGGCCUUCGGGUUGUAAAGCCCUUUUGUUGGGAAAGAAAAGCAGCAGGUUAAUACCCCGCUGUUCUGACGGUACCCAAAGAAUAAGCACCGGCUAACUUCGUG
rnacentral:rRNA from 1 species